GCGGACGGGUGAGUAACACGUGGGUAACCUGCCUGUAAGAUCGGAAUAACUCCGGGAAACCGGAGCUAAUGCCGGGUAAUACUUUCUUUCGCAUGAAGGAAAGUUGAAAGAUGGCUUCUUGCUAUCACUUACAGAUGGACCCGCGGCGCAUUAGCUAGUUGGUGAGGUAACGGCUCACCAAGGCGACGAUGCGUAGCCGACCUGAGAGGGUGAUCGGCCACACUGGGACUGAGACACGGCCCAGACUCCUACGGGAGGCAGCAGUAGGGAAUCUUCCGCAAUGGACGAAAGUCUGACGGAGCAACGCCGCGUGAACGAUGAAGGUCUUCGGAUCGUAAAGUUCUGUUGUUAGGGAAGAACAAGUACCGUUCGAAUAGGGCGGUACCUUGACGGUACCUAACGAGGAAGCCCCGGCUAACUACGUGCCAGCAGCCGCGGUAAUACGUAGGGGGCAAGCGUUGUCCGGAAUUAUUGGGCGUAAAGCGCUCGCAGGCGGUUCCUUAAGUCUGAUGUGAAAGCCCACGGCUCAACCGUGGAGGGUCAUUGGAAACUGGGGAACU
rnacentral:rRNA from 1 species